rnacentral:rRNA from 1 species
GGAAUUCAUUUGGAUCACUUAGUGGCGGACGGGUGAGUAACGCGUGGGUAACCUGCCUCACACUGGGGGAUAGCAGUUGGAAACGACUGAUAAUACCGCAUAAGCGCACAGUAUCGCAUGGUACAGUGUGAAAAACUCCGGUGGUGUGAGAUGGACCCGCGUCUGAUUAGCUAGUUGGUGAGGUAACGGCCCACCAAGGCGACGAUCAGUAGCCGGCCUGAGAGGGUGUACGGCCACAUUGGGACUGAGACACGGCCCAAACUCCUACGGGAGGCAGCAGUGGGGAAUAUUGGACAAUGGGGGAAACCCUGAUCCAGCGACGCCGCGUGAGUGAAGAAGUAUCUCGGUAUGUAAAGCUCUUNUCAGCAGGGAAGAUAAUGACGUAC